rnacentral:rRNA from 1 species
AAGNUAAAGUCGUAACAAGGUUUCCGUAGGUGAACCUGCGGAAGGAUCAUUAACGCGCAAGAGGUCGAAGUUGGCCCCCGAAGCUCUUCCGUCUCCCCCCCGGGCCUCC